GAUGCCAGGGGCAAAAGGUCAAAAAGCCGUUCAUGCUUGCAUGAUAAGGCUUUUGAACUUGGGACCCGCCAAACAUGAGAAAGUAGCGAUUUACGCAGUAAAUCAGCGGAUUUCGAAUGUUUAUAGAAUUGCGGGAGCUGCUUUGCAGCGGAGCAAUUCGCAGGCAU
rnacentral:sRNA from 1 species